rnacentral:rRNA from 1 species
AUUGAACGCUGGCGGAAUGCUUUACACAUGCAAGUCGAGCGGCAGCGCGGGGCAACCUGGCGGCGAGCGGCGAACGGGUGAGUAAUGCAUCGGAACGUACCCAGUCGUGGGGGAUAACUGUCCGAAAGGACAGCUAAUACCGCAUACGUCCUGAGGGAGAAAGCGGGGGAUCGCAAGACCUCGCGCGAUUGGAGCGGCCGAUGCCGGAUUAGCUAGUUGGUAGGGUAAAGGCCUACCAAGGCGACGAUCCGUAGCUGGUCUGAGAGGACGACCAGCCACACUGGAACUGAGACGCGGUCCAGACUCCUACGGGAGGCAGCAGUGGGGAAUUUUGGACAAUGGGGGCAACCCUGAUCCAGCCAUUCCGCGUGAGUGAAGAAGGCCUCGGUUG